GCUCGCACUUUAGGAUGGGCCUGCGUCCGAUUAGCUUGUUGGUAGGGUAACGGCCUACCAAGGCGAUGAUCGGUAGCUGGUCUGAGAGGAUGAUCAGCCACAUUGGGACUGAGACACGGCCCAGACUCCUACGGGAGGCAGCAGUGGGGAAUAUUGGACAAUGGGCGCAAGCCUGAUCCAGCCAUACCGCGUGUGUGAAGAAGGCCUUCGGGUUGUAAAGCACUUUAAGCAGGGAGAAAAAGUUAUAAGUUAAUACCUUAUAGCCGUGAUGUUACCUGCAGAAUAAGCACCGGCUAAUUCCGUGCCAGCAGCCGCGGUAAUACGGAAGGUGCAAGCGUUAAUCGGAAUUACUGGGCGUAAAGCGCGCGUAGGUGGUUUGUUAAGUUGGAUGUGAAAGCCCUGGGCUCAACCUAGGAACUGCAUCCAAAACUAACUCACUAGAGUACGAUAGAGGGAGGUAGAAUUCAUAGUGUAGCGGUGGAAUGCGUAGAUAUUAUGAAGAAUACCAGUGGCGAAGGCGGACUCCUGGAUCUGUACUGACACUGAGGUGCGAAAGCGUGGGUGCGAACAGAUAGAUUCCUGGCUGUCCAGCGGUAAAGAGACACUACCUGUGGGGA
rnacentral:rRNA from 1 species